rnacentral:rRNA from 1 species
UACGUAGGGUCCGAGCGUUGUCCGGAAUUAUUGGGCGUAAAGGGCUCGUAGGCGGUCCGUCACGUCGGGAGUGAAAACUCAGGGCUCAACCCUGAGCGUGCUUCCGAUACGGGCGGACUAGAGGUAUGCAGGGGAGAACGGAAUUCCUGGUGUAGCGGUGGAAUGCGCAGAUAUCAGGAGGAACACCGGUGGCGAAGGCGGUUCUCUGGGCAUUACCUGACGCUGAGGCGCGAAAGCGUGGGGAGCAAACAGG